rnacentral:lncRNA from 1 species
AAGUAAGCUGUAUAAGGAAUUAUUCACUCAGCACGCGAGCACAGAAAAGAUUUGUGGCUUCUAUUGUUACUUAAUUAAGUUCGAAGUACUGAAUUUUAUGGGAGUAAUAAUAUACUGUUUUGUGGUGAUGAAGGCAAAUGACCAAUUGAGAAAUUGGUUUGAAGAUGAUGAUGCUUUAGAGCGUGCUACUGAUGCAGAGUGAGUUUGAGAAAUAUAAUAUUUACAAUUUUCAUUUUCGCGCGUCCUAUUUUUAUAGUUUGCUUGCUUAAUUUGGUGCUCACUUGUUAUCUUUCAGGUGGUUACUGCUCGAUGCAGAGUGAGUUUGAGGAAUAUAAUAUUUACGAUUUUCAUUUUCACGUGUGUCCUAUUUUUCUAGUUUGCUUGCUAAGUUUGGUGCUUACUUUUAUCUUUCAG